AUUGGACUGUGUUUACUGACUGCAAAGCAGUAUGUUGCAGUUUGACAAAUUGUCUUGUUUCUCUUACAUAUGUGCGUGAGGAAGCAAAAGUUACCAAUUCUUACUGAAUGUGCUAUUCCUCCCUGAAAGAAAUAAUGAGUAACAGUGACACCUAGUGUUUCAAAUCGCAACAACAUCCUUAGGUUAAGCAUAACAUGUUAUAUUCUAUUUCGGGGCCGCUCCUUUUACUGCCUUCCAUGUUUUCAGGCUGCUGCUCUUUUGUCAAGAUAAAAUAUUAAGUGCUCCACUCUGUUUUGGGCAACCUGGGCAAUCUCAUAAGAUUGGCUCAGGAACCAGGACAUAGACACGGGCUACAGUGCAGCAAAGUAGUUUUGUACUGUAUCUCUGACUGUGAGAGGACAAAAACUUGACAAAAACUUUGUUGAUGGAGAAGACCGAUUGUUUAUAAGGAAUCUUCCUUCCAUCCUGGUUGACAAAUCACAAUGAUUUAGGUUCGUUUUACAGACAAUGUCUCACUUAUUGCACCCUUAAAGUUAAUCUUAAUAUGGACAUUUCCUUAUUUUGUUUCAUUCAGUGUCAUUAUGGCAGGCACACAUCACAUCCAAAUUGGAAAUAGAUGUCAACAUUUCCAUCAGGAUCCUACAUAACCAUGUGAGCAUCUGUGAAACUUUGACAUUAAGAGGCCAAUCCAAGGUUGACCUCAUAAACUGAGUCACUCAAAUUAACGAUACCAUUGAACAAAUCCAGCAAGCCCCACCAAAUGGCAGAGCACCAAAAAUUCAGGUAAACUCCUGUUGUUCCUCUCCACGGAAAUCUUUAGUAAAAGGCGAAAGAUUUAUACGAUCUGAAGGGAAACAAGAGUGCAUGUCCUACUGCUGACCAAGUGCCCACUGCUUUUGUCAUCACAGCAACCGGGCUAACGGUGCGAUUAGACUGAGGAACUCAUUCAAGUUUCAAAACUGUAAAUGACUUGACUUUGUUUUAAGAAAUACAUUGAACACCUCACACAAAAAUGAGAAAACUUGAAAAAAGUAAAAAAAAAAAAAAAACAGAAUUGCAAAAUAAAUCAAUGUUGACGCAAUGCAUUGUGGGAGCGGGGCAAAACUGGCCAUUCUUCUAUAUUUGUCGAAGCGCUAUAUUUUCCGUUUCGUGUAAUAUAGUUUACGAAUGGAAACGGUGUGUACUUUUGUAUAAUGUACCAAAGCCAUUCCGUUUGUGUUAGCCUUUGACAGUUAUUAGGAGACGCAAGAGUAAGUGUCUCACUAGGAGGGUCUCCUGCCUGUGCACCGAGCGUUUUUACGGACUAACAAAUAGGGGAGACUAAAAGAUAAUUUCACAUGUUUAGAAUGGAAGAAGAUACUACUUGCACCCCAGAUGGGACUUGAACCCACAAUCCCUGGCUUAGGAGGCCAGUGCCUUAUCCAUUAGGCCACUGGGGCAGGAAGCCAGUAGGAGUCAGUCUUUUCAAGCACAAUACGUCGACACAAAAGUCUGUUUGGGAAAAUGAAUGUGGGGGGCCCCUUUCACAACCAUUGUUGCCCUGAAAGUCUGCCAGCAAAGCACUGGCUCCAUCUGAAUAAUAGCUCCUUAACAUCUGACGGUAUCAGUAGCGUGGAUUCCACUGUACAAUGGAUAGGUGCUUCAGACUGCUGUGCUGAAUUCAGACAGCAGGGAAAGAUAAAGAAGAGCACAAGUGCAGUGUCAACUCUAGAAGACUAAACAGGUUGCGGAAGAGUUUGUAUAGCAGAGGAUGGUUUCGAUCCAUCGACCUCUGGGUUAUGGGCCCAGCACGCUUCCGCUGCGCCACUCUGCUUGCCUGCCAGUUGUGAAAUGAACCCACGAUCGCUACCUCAGGAGGCCAGUGCCUCAUCUAUGAAGGACGUCUGAAGGUGACAGUCCUGCCAGUCUCUGCCUUUUUGGCGUAGGCUCUGAGAAGCUAUGAUAAUCUUGUCCGAUUGAGUUUUUUUCACGUCAGUUUACCAAUGGGUUUAUGGGAAUAAAAGUGAAUUGUGUGAUACGUUUGUCAUUCGCUGUGUGUCAGAGGAAAGAAUGACCAUGUUCAACAAACUAGGGUGGAAUAUUUGCCUGCUAUCUGAGCUGAGGGCCCAUUUGGGCUCAGGCUCCUCUUAUCACAAAAGGCAAUGGCUCUUGGCUCCACUCAACAACUACUGUUGGAGACGUGAGGGACAUGGACGAUGGUCAUUGAAGACCAGUUGCUAGCUUCCAACCCCCGUGAGUGGGGCCUUUGUCUUGGCCCAUUGUUACUCAUACUUACCUGGCAGGGGAGAUUUCAUGAUCAGGAAGGUGAAUCUCCCAGAGCGAGGCUCAGCCAUUGCACUCUGGCUGUCCUGACCUUUGCGAAUUCCCCAAAUGUGGGAAUCUCGACUGCAUAAUUUGUGGUAGUGGGGGACUGCGUCCGCGCUCUCCCCUGGUGUGUUUGUUUAUGAGAAAAGAGUUGUUUUUGCAUGUUCCUUCUGCCCUGAUUAAGUCCAAUUGGACUGUGUUUACUGACUGCAAAGCAGUAUGUUGCAGUUUGACAAAUUGUCUUGUUUCUCUUACAUAUGUGCGUGAGGAAGCAAAAGUUACCAAUUCUUACUGAAUGUGCUAUUCCUCCCUGAAAGAAAUAAUGAGUAACAGUGACACCUAGUGUUUCAAAUCGCAACAACAUCCUUAGGUUAAGCAUAACAUGUUAUAUUCUAUUUCGGGGCCGCUCCUUUUACUGCCUUCCAUGUUUUCAGGCUGCUGCUCUUUUGUCAAGAUAAAAUAUUAAGUGCUCCACUCUGUUUUGGGCAACCUGGGCAAUCUCAUAAGAUUGGCUCAGGAACCAGGACAUAGACACGGGCUACAGUGCAGCAAAGUAGUUUUGUACUGUAUCUCUGACUGUGAGAGGACAAAAACUUUGUUGAUGGAGAAGACCGAUUGUUUAUAAGGAAUCUUCCUUCCAUCCUGGUUGACAAAUCACAAUGAUUUAGGUUCGUUUUACAGACAAUGUCUCACUUAUUGCACCCUUAAAGUUAAUCUUAAUAUGGACAUUUCCUUAUUUUGUUUCAUUCAGUGUCAUUAUGGCAGGCACACAUCACAUCCAAAUUGGAAAUAGAUGUCAACAUUUCCAUCAGGAUCCUACAUAACCAUGUGAGCAUCUGUGAAACGUUGACAUUAAGAGGCCAAUCCAAGGUUGACCUCAUAAACUGAGUCACUCAAAUUAACGAUACCAUUGAACAAAUCCAGCAAGCCCCACCAAAUGGCAGAGCACCAAAAAUUCAGGUAAACUCCUGUUGUUCCUCUCCACGGAAAUCUUUAGUAAAAGGCGAAAGAUUUAUACGAUCUGAAGGGAAACAAGAGUGCAUGUCCUACUGCUGACCAAGUGCCCACUGCUUUUGUCAUCACAGCAACCGGGCUAACGGUGCGAUUAGACUGAGGAACUCAUUCAAGUUUCAAAACUGUAAAUGACUUGACUUUGUUUUAAGAAAUAAAUUGAACACCUCACACAAAAAUGAGAAAACUUGAAAAAAGUAAAAAAAAAAAAAAAA